rnacentral:rRNA from 1 species
CCUACGGGAGGCAGCAGUGAGGAAUAUUGGUCAAUGGACGCAAGUCUGAACCAGCCAAGUAGCGUGCAGGAUGACGGCCCUCCGGGUUGUAAACUGCUUUUAGUUGGGAAUAAAAGGGGGCUCGUGAGCCCUGUAUUGUAUGUAUCAUCAGAAAAAGGACCCGCUAAUUCCGUGCCAGCAGCCGCGGUAAUACGGAAGGUCCGGGCGUUAUCCGGAUUUAUUGGGUUUAAAGGGAGCGUAGGCCGGCUUUUAAGUCAGCUGUGAAAGUCCGCGGCUCAACCGUGGAAUUGCAGUUGAAACUGGAAGCCUUGAGUGCACACAGGGAUGCCGGAAUUCGUGGUGUAGCGGUGAAAUGCUUAGAUAUCAUGAAGAACUCCGAUCGCGAAGGCAGGUGUCCGGGGUGCAACUGACGCUGAGGCUCGAAAGUGCGGGUAUCAAACAGGAUUAGAUACCCUAGUAGUC